rnacentral:rRNA from 1 species
UACGUAGGGGUGCAAGCGUUGUCCGGAAUUACUGGGCGUAAAGGGCGCGUAGGCGGGAUGGCAAGUCGGUCGUGAAAUCCCUCGGCUCAACCGAGGAACGUCGAUCGAUACUGCUGUUCUUGAGGAUUGCAGAGGAGACUGGAAUUCCCGGUGUAGCGGUGAAAUGUGUAGAGAUCGGGAGGAACACCGGUGGCGAAGGCGGGGUCUCUGGGCAAUUCCUGACGCUGAGGCGCGAAAGCGUGGGGAGCAAACGGG